rnacentral:rRNA from 1 species
GUCAUGCUUCCAAGAAAAGCCCUAUACCCGUUAAGGCAUCAUGGCCUGUACCCGAAACCGACACAGGUGGGGUGGUAGAGAAUACCGAGGGGCGCGAGGUAACUCUCUCUAAGGAACUCGGCAAAAUGGCCCCGUAACUUCGGGAGAAGGGGUGCCACCGCAAGGUGGUCGCAGUGAAGAGGCCCAGGCGACUGUUUACCAAAAACACAGGUCUCCGCUAAGUCGCAAGACGAUGUAUGGGGGCUGACGCCUGCCCAGUGCCGGAAGGUUAAGGAAGCUGGUCAGCGCAAGCGAAGCUAGCGACUGAAGCCCCGGUGAACGGCGGCCGUAACAAUAACGGUCCUAAGGUAGCGAAAUUCCUUGUCGGGUAAGUUCCGACCCGCACGAAAGGCGUAACGAUCUGGGCGCUGUCUCGGAGAGAGGCUCGGCGAAAUAGAAUUGUCUGUGAAGAUGCGGACUACGUGCACCCGGACAGAAAGACCCUAUGAAGCUUUACUGUAGCUUGGUAUUGUGCCCGGGCUCGCAAUGCGCAGGAUAGGUGGGAGGCUUUGAUCAUCGGCUUGCGGGUCGAUGUGAGCCAACGGUGAGAUACCACUCUUUGCGAGCUAGGGUUCUAACGGCCACCCGUCAUCCGGGGGCCGGACAGUACCUGGUGGGCAGUUUGACUGGGGCGGUCGCCUCCUAAAAGGUAACGGAGGCGCGCAAAGGUUUGCUCAGGCUGGUUGGAAAUCAGCCGACGAGUGUAAAAGCAGAAGCAAGCUUGACUGUGAGACCAACAAGUCGAACAGGGAGGAAACUCGGCUUUAGUGAUCCGACGGUUCUGAGUGGAAGGGCCGUCGCUCAACGGAUAAAAGUUACUCUAAGGAUAACAGGCUGAUCUCCCCCAAGAGUUCACAUCGACGGGGAGGUUUGGCACCUCGAUGUCGGCUCAUCGCAACCUGGGGCUGAAGUCGGUCCCAAGGGUUGGGCUGUUCGCCCAUUAAAGCGGUACGCGAGCUGGGUUCAGAACGUCGUGAGACAGUUCGGUCCAUAUCCGGUGCGCGCGCAGGAAUAUUGAGAGGAUUUCUCCCUAGUACGAGAGGACCGGGAGGAACGCACCUCUGGUGUACCAGUUAUCGUGCCAACGGUAAACGCUGGGUAGCCAUGUGCGGAGUGGAUAACCGCUGAAAGCAUCUAAGUGGGAAGCCCACCUCAAGAUGAGUAUUCCCAUGGCGUAAGCCAGUAAGGUCACGGGAAGAACACCCGUUGAUAGGCUCUAUGUGGAAGCGCAGUAAUGCGUGAAGCAGAGGAGUACUAAUAGACCGAGGGCUUGACC